rnacentral:rRNA from 1 species
CAAUAGCGUAUAUUAAAGUUGUUGCAGUUAAAAAGCUCGUAGUUGAAUUUUUGCUUGCCGCCGAACGUACGGAACAUCCUUGGGUGGAACCUGUGUGGCAUUAGGUUGUCGUGCAGGGGAUGCUCAUCGUUUACUGUGAAAAAAUUAGAGUGUUCAAAGCAGGCUUACGCCGUUGAAUAUAUUAGCAUGGAAUAAUAAGAUAGGACCUUGGUACUAUUUUGUUGGUUUGCGCACCGAGGUAAUGAUUAACAGGGACAGUUGGGGUUAGGGUUAGGGUUAGGGGUAUUCGUAUUCCAUUGUCAGAGGUGAAAUUCUUGGAUUUCUGGAAGACGAACUACUGCGAAAGCAUUUACCAAGGAUGUUUUCAUUAA